UAUUAUAAUUAGCAAAAAAUGUACAGCAUUGAAGAGGCUUUCAGGGUAAGGCAUAGCUGCAUUACCUGAGCGUUCCCUAGGCUUCCAACCUUAGAUGCUAUCGUACUGGGGGAACUUGGUGUGCUGGCUCUAAGGAACAGUAUAGAGCAUAGAGUGGAGUGGAGACACCACAGCUAGGCUCUGUGACCAGGUGGGGACUCGAUUGUUCUUGUGCACAGCGAGACCAAUAAGUGGCACUUUUUGCUACCCUGAGCCAAUGACCUGUCAUGUUUUGACAAAUGCUGUACUCUAGUGUACUUUUGCUCAUUAUAAUAUCAUUAUAAUAUCAAAACACACCUCCAUCCCAAAAGCUACCUGCCUCCAAGGUGCGACCACCCCUCACUGAGCACGAGCUCUGAAUUUCUUGGAGCCUAUUCCUUUAAAUGGAGAUGGGAAAACUUUUCACCAAUCAUAACUAAGAUAUGCUUGACUAGAGUCACUCAAGCUCCACAUAAAAGAUAGAAAAUAAUAUACAUUGGCCUAAGAGAGAGGGGAUGUCAGGGAAGAUACCAUCAUCAGGGAAGAUAUAAUCAUCAGGGGAGAUACCAUCCCGAGGGAAUACACCAUCCUGAGGACCUCCGGACCCCUGGGAUCAGUCAAGAGGCUGAGCCCCUCUCUCCCCUCGCCCCCCCCCCCCCCCCCACAUUGGGAUGCCUUUGGGUGAGAUUUGAACAGUUGGUUAUACUGGGUGUCUCCGCAGAAACGU